AGAUAAGCAUCUUGAAACCCAAAAUAUGAUUCAAACAAGAAACUCACUUUCUUGUUUGACUCAUAAUUUUGGGUUUCAAGAUGC